CCUACGUGAGGCAGCAGUGAGGAAUAUUGGUCAAUGGGCGGGAGCCUGAACCAGCCAAGUCGCGUGAGGGAAGACGGUCCUAUGGAUUGUAAACCUCUUUAGGCGGGGAGCAAUGCCGGGCACGCGUGCCCGGAGGGAGAGUACCCGCAGAAUAAGCAUCGGCUAACUCCGUGCCAGCAGCGGCGGUAAUACGGAGGAUGCGAGCGUUAUCCGGAUUUAUUGGGUUUAAGGGGAGCGUAGGUGGAUUGUUAAGUCAGUUGUGAAAGUUUGCGGCUCAACCGUAAAAUUGCAGUUGAAACUGGCAGUCUUGAGUACAGUAGAGGUUGGCGGAAUUCGGGGUGUAGCGGUGAAAUGCUUAGAUAUCACGAAGAACUCCGGUGGCGAAGGCAGCUCACUGGACUUUAACUGACACUGAGGCUCGAAAGUGUGGGUAUCAAACAGGAUUAGAUACCCCAGUAGUC
rnacentral:rRNA from 1 species